AUUUUGAGUUCUGGAUCAAAAGUUAUAAUAAAAACAAAAAAGCAAAAAAUUAAAAAAUUCUACGGGUGGAAACGCCUAGAAUUUUCGAAUCUCCUAGGCACUUUUGAAAAUUCUUGGCGUUUCUCCCCUAGAGUUUUGAAAAAUUUAGGCGUUUGGCCUCCACAAAGAAAAAAAAAACGACUUUAAUUCUGACGAUGUGUCUGAUGACUUUGCCCUAAAUUGGUGGUGAUUUGUUGGGAGGAGAGAAUAUACGAUUGAGUCAGAGUCCAGAGAAAAAAAAUAUGAAGUACAUCUGAGAGAAUAUUUGUCCAUUUAUCUAAAUCCCCCCGGAACUAAUAAAAUUACUUUCCCUUCUCUUCCUUUCUUUUCUCUCCCUUUUCUUUCUAUUCCUUUCCUUUAACUGUGGAGUAAUAUUGAACCAAAAAGACCUCACACAGUUACACUCCCACUCUCUCUCUCUCCUCCUUUGAAGCAUGCUCCGUGUUUUUCCAGAAGAAUCGAUCGAAUAUGGGUGACCAUCUCUUUCCCGAAAACAUCCAUCUAAUUUUCCGAUUCAAUACCUCAUUCUCCAAUUUUCAGAUUGCUGGGUACUUAGGCAUUGGUUACAUACAUGUCUUGCUUAGCAGCCACAUGAUCGCUUCUGUUGUUUCUCAAUCCAUUUGCCCAUGGGAAACACAUGUUGUCUGAUAACAUCCAGAAGGGGACUUUAGGAUUGGAGAGGUGAAGAAGAUAGUAGAUGCGCUCAAUGUAGGGAAACUCCCACCAACCGAUGUAUUGUUGAGUGAUUUUAAAUUAUAUAAGAGUUUUUGAAAUAAAUAUGUGCUUCAUGGUUUGCUGCAAAGAUUCUCCAACCUUAAGAAGAUACAGGUCUGUAACUUCAAAGGAGACAUGAAUGAAGCUGUUGUUGCCAUUGCACGGUCCGGGUUGGACUUGGAAGAGUUGGUUGCUUAUUCAUAUUGUCGAAGUCAAUUAGAAGUUUGGUUAGAGGAGCUUGGUUCAAACAUGAAGAAUCUGAAAGUACUCAAGUUUACUGGUGGCGAGGGAGAUGCUGAUUUUGUCAGAGUAGCAGAUUCGUUCCCAGAGCUCGAGGAACUUCAUAUCAAGGAUGAAGCACCGUAUUAUAUUUCUGUGACUGAUGAAGGGAUAGAAUAUAUGUCGUCCAAGCUCAAGAGUUUACGCAAGAUAGACCUUUCGAAUAAAUCACGGAUUUCAGAUAAGUCCCUUAUUUCUCUGUCAAAAAACUGUCCAUUACUAGAGCAAAUUGAAAUUCAUGAUUGUAAUUGUGACACAAGAAGGAAUUUCAUUUCUUGUUAACAACAGCCAUCAUUUGAACUCAUUAUACAUAAAUAAAUAUCUUAAGAUUGAUUCAUUUGGAGUCAAAGGCUCUACAAAUUUCCUAACCAACUUUAGAUCUCUAAAGCUCCAACAUGUAGACAUACCGGAUGAGUUUCUCUUUUCUGUAGUAGAGGCACGGAUUCAUCUUACUGACUUGGAUCUAAGAAUUUGUAAAAGUUACACAAUUACUGGUAUCUCAAUGCUCCUACAACACUCUUCUCAAUCUCUGAAAUCUUUAAAGUUGAGGAGAGUAGAAUUCCUCACAAAUGAGCUUAUAGAGUACUUGUCCUCGUGUCUCCAAAACCUGACAUCAAUAUCAAUCCGUAAUUGUUCCAAUCUAUCUGAUUCAGCUUUUGUUAUGAUCACACAAAGAUGCCCUUGUCUAUGCCAUUUUGUGAUGACUGGUUCAAGCCUUGGAAGAGAAGAAUACAAUUAUGAUGGCCUAAUGAAGAAGAACCGUGCAAUAAAGUACUUAAACCUAUCAUCACAUCAUGACUUUAGCUCUACAGCUCUGAAAAGGCUUCUUAAAUUAUGUCCCGAAGUGGAGAAGCUCAAGCUACAUGAUUGUUAUUUCCUACCCGAUGAUCAACGGAAUGUUCCUGAUAUUCGAGAGUGCCACAGGAGCCUUGUGGAACUGGAUUUAACUGGAUCCCAUCGUUUCGUUGGAGAAGACAUGGAGUUGGAGUUAGAGUUGGAGUCGUCAGUGCUAGAGAAGUUGAUUGUGAAAUAUUCAAAGAUAAAUGAUAUACUUCUUAUAUAGUUGGGGAGGAUAUGCCCCGGAAGUGAUAAAGGAAGUGGUGAAAUCGUGUAAACGACUGAGAUACUUGAGCUUAAGUUGCUGUGAAAAAGUGGGUAUUAACAUAAUACCAUGGAUAGUUGCAAACAGACCAUCCUUGAGAAAAUUGGUCUCAUCAUCUUGUGAUUACCCAGACUCCGAAAACCAGAAUCUCUUCCUGCAGCAAGGCUGUUUUGUCCUCAAGGAUCCAAACUACAUUCCUAGAUAUAGUAGUAUUUUUUUCGGUCUCACGUAGUAUGUUGUAAUUGUGUUUAUUGAAAUAACUCUAAUAAGUACAGUAGUAGAUUGUUGUUGCAA